UACAGAGGUGGCAAGCGUUGUUCGGAAUUACUGGGCGUAAAGGGCGCGUAGGCGGCCUUGUAAGUCCUGUGUGAAAUCCCCCGGCUCAACUGGGGAACUGCACAGGAGACUGCUUGGCUUGAGUUCGGGAGAGGGAAGCGGAAUUCCGGGUGUAGCGGUGAAAUGCGUAGAUAUCCGGAGGAACACCGGUGGCGAAGGCGGCUUCCUGGACCGACACUGACGCUGAGGCGCGAAAGCCAGGGGAGCAAAC
rnacentral:rRNA from 1 species